UUCACAAGCCUUUAAAACUAAUAGCUCAUAAAAGUAAUAAGCCAACGUGUUGUAUCUUCAGUAACUAGUGGUGAGAGAGACCAAACAACAACUGUUAUACUAGCUUUUAAUUGUGUGGGACACUACAUACCUCCUAUGAUUAUUUUUAAAAGAAAACGGAUGCUAGAUUCAUUGAUUGAUGAUGCACCACCAGGAACAGUUGGACGCUGUUCUAAAAGUGGUUGGGUAGAUACAAAUUUGUUUAUGGAUUUUAUAAGACACUUUGUAAUACAUGGAAAUUGUAGCACUACAAAUAAGUGUUUGUUAAUUCUUGAUGGUCACAAAUCACACACCAAAAAUCUUAAUCUUCUCAAUUAUGCUAGCAUAAAUGGAUUGCAUAUUUUAUCACUACCACCACAUACAUCCCAUAAGCUUCAACCACUUGAUCGAACUUUGUUCAAAUCUUUGAAAAGUGAUUAUAACUUAGUAUGCACAACAUGGAUGAGAAAGCACCCAGGAAGAAGAAUUACAGUUGAUAAACUUUCAGGACUAUUUUGUCAAGCUUAUGUGAAAGCAGCUACAGUGGAAAAUGCUAUUUCUGGAUUUUGAGUAACAGGCAUCAGUCCUUUUAAUCGAGAAAUCCUUCCUGAGUCAGAUUAUUUUGAAAAUCCAUGUUUAAAAGAUAGUAAUACAAACAUAAUAUUUAAUGAAAUACCAGAUAUAAAUCCUGAACAAUCAUCUACAACUAAUUCUUUAAUUGAGCCGAACCAAAAUUCGUAUGUUCAAACAUCCAUUGCUAGUUUUUCAGUUAAUGAAAUAAAUGCCUCGUUGUCAAUUUCAAACUCUCAACAGCUUUCUUUUACUGAUAUAUUAUUAAUUCCAGCUAUUGAAGUGAAGACAACAAAAAGAAAGGGAGAAAAUUCAGAAAUUUUGACAAGCACAUUGUAUAAAAAAACUUUGCAGGAGGGGUUGGAAAACAAAAAAAAAGUUAAAUACAACAAAAAAAGUUUAUUUUGUUAAGUUAGGGACAGAUUUUUUGUGUAAACUGUGUGUGUGCCACGAUUAUAUUUAAACAUUCUA